AUGAGGAAGCGUGUAUCCCUCAUAGAUUGGAACAGUGUGGCUCACACCAUCACCAGAGUCGAGCACAAUACCUGCAGAAAGAAAAAGUUGUCAACCACCCUAUCCAGUGAACUUCAGCGGCAACUGUUUCAAACAAGACUAAAGAAUAAAAGAAGAGGGAAAGCCAGCUUUGCAGCACUCAAACUCGACAUGAGCAAGGCGUACGAUCGAGUUGAAUGGAGUUUCUUGAGGGACAUGAUGAUAAAGAUGGGGUUUAACUCUUCUUGGGUCAAGCUCAUUAUGAACUGCGUCACCACGGUUCGUUAUCAAAUAAAGAAAGCGGAGGAACGUGGAAAAAUAAUAGGCAUCAAAGUAUGCAAAAGAGCUCCAAGCAUUAAUCAUCUCCUCUUUGCAGAUGAUUCUUUACUGCUCUUCAAAGCUGAAAAUAGGACUGCAAUAGAGAUAAAUCAUAUCCUGGAGACAUAUGCUGGUUGCUCAGGUCAAGUAAUCAAUAAGGAGAAAUCUGCCAUAAUGUUUAGCAAGAAUACCCAGCAUCAGCAGAAGAAUAUGAUCAUGUCAGCAUUGCAUAUUACAAGGGAGGCAAGAACAGAGAAGUAUUUAGGGCUGCCAGUGUACAUAGGAAGAUCAAAAGAAAAGGCAUUUGCCUACCUCAAAGACAAAAUUUGGAGGAAAGUUCAAGGAUGGAAAGAAAAAAUGCUCUCAACGGCGGGUAAAGAGAUUCUAAUAAAGGCCGUAGCCCAAGCAGUCCCGGUCUUUGCAAUGGCAUGUUUUGAUCUGACCAAGACUUUAUGUAACCAGAUUAGUGAGAUGAUCUGCAGAUACUGA
rnacentral:rRNA from 1 species